UUUGGAUUCAGAAUAUUUUAAUAGUUUUUCCUGAAUUCUGAGUCCUCCAGACCUAUUUUAUUGCCUGAAAGACUUGAUACUGUGUUGCUCAAAAAGCUAAGAAGCUGUAAAUCCUAACUAUUUGCGGUCAGGACAUGGAUCCUUUCCGGUCAUUGAGUUCUGUUGAAGCUUGGUUUUCAGCUAACAUUGGCAUUUAAUGAUGGGUGAAUAUGCAUCUUCGGCUUUUGAGUCUCUUGGUGAGUUCUGCAGUCUCAUGAAUUAUCAAUACUUCUUUCACCAAUUUGCUUAGUGUACGGUAAUAUGCACGUGAAAUGCUAAAUUUGCUACAUUUUACCUUCUUUCCUGUUAGAUAUGUUUUAGUGAGCUGAUUAUCUAUUGUGCUCUCUGUCAGGUUGACAGGCAUCAUGGACAUAAUGAUGAAUUUAAACUGGAAAACUAAAUUCUAGUCUCUGUAUUGUGCUGUUCUUAGUGUGAACUUUGGCAUUAAUCUGAUCUGUGCAGUGUCUUUGGAGACGAUAUGUUCAGAUCUUAUAGGAAAAGAUGAUUGAAGGCUAUUAUUUCUACCCUAGCAUUGAAGUUGGUUCUGGGAACUAGCACUGACGUGUUAUCUUAUGGGUCCACAAUGUGAUUUUAUCAACUUCAGGUUCAAAACCAGAUACUGCAGUCCCUCAAGUGCUUACCUCAAUUGAUGGCACAGUUCUAAGGAUUAUAUAUUAUUGGCUUAUGGCAAAUUCAGUAUCCAACUCAUGGAAACCACCUCAGACUCCAUUGUUUCUCAUCUUGAAUAACCUCUGAGCUUGCUUGUCAAUCCAUCCAACUUACUUCCUCUGGUGGCUGAAGAUCCAGGAGAGAUAUUUUGAAAAUACUAAGCCGGUAGAUUAUCUCAUUCAUAGUAGAAUUUUGAGGAACAUUUAUUCUUUAUUGGUGCUUUGUAGAUGACAUUCACAUGGUAGAAGGCAAAUUUGUAUUUGUUGGUAAACUUUCUUGUUUUCUCUAGUAUGCAUGGUAUAUAACAUUUAUUUCUUUUAUAUGUAUAGGUUCCAUAAUGCUGAUGACAAGGAAUCAAAUAUCAGUCAGACCAAUAUUACUAAUGCAAGGAAUCAAUACUGGAAGGAUCAGAACUAUAUAGCCUAGAUUACCGAUUGACGGAUCUGGAAAAGAAUAAUUGCCAGUUGCUUGGAAUAUCAUCAUUGCAUAUAGAGUUUGGAUGAUCUGAAAGGAAAAAGAGGGUGGAGCUGGACGUGUGAUUAGAGACAGAUCGGAAAAUGUGCUUUGACAAGCUGUUCCUACAUAUUCCUAUUAGCAUGAUUGGUUGGUAUUAAAUGACUUUUGAGGUAGACUCUUGAUGUAGAAUACAUUAUGAGAAUGCUGAAUGAGGAGGAUCAACCAUCUUUUGAAUAAACAAAUCUCUAACUUAAUAAUGUAAUUCACCUUUUUUAACUCGCACAAUUUGCUAAAAAUUUGAUCAAAAAGAAGUAAUUGGUCGAGUAGGAUUGUAUUUUAUGCUCCA